GACGAACGCNGGCGGCGUGCUUAACACAUGCAAGUCGAACGGAGCGAAUGAAAGCUUGCUUUUAUGAGCUUAGUGGCAAACGGGUGAGUAACACGUAGGCAACCUGCCGACAGGAUGGGGACAACAUUCCGAAAGGAAUGCUAAUACCGAAUGAAGCGGAGGAGAGGCAUCUCUCUUCCGUGAAAGAUGGCCUCUAUUUAUAAGCUAUCACCUGUCGAUGGGCCUGCGUCUGAUUAGCUAGUUGGUGAGGUAACGGCUCACCAAGGCGACGAUCAGUAGCCGGUCUGAGAGGAUGAACGGCCACAUUGGGACUGAGACACGGCCCAGACUCCUACGGGAGGCAGCAGUGGGGAAUCUUCCGCAAUGGGCGCAAGCCUGACGGAGCAACGCCGCGUGAGUGGAGAAGGUCUUCGGAUCGUAAAGCUCUGUUGAUGGGGACGAACGUACGGAGUGCGAAUAGUGCUCNGUAANGACGGUACC
rnacentral:rRNA from 1 species